GGCUGAGGGUGAAACCAAAUAAAAAACAGAGCAAGAACUACUGAUAAAAUGGGAACACUGGUAGAAGAACUAGACCAGACAUUAUGAAAAAAGUCCGCAUACUUCCACUGAAAUAUGGCAAGUGUCACUCCAAGAAUUGUGCCAGUACUUACAUCCAUAAAACCAUGCAUACCGCAAUAUAUGCGACCCAAAGAAAUGGAAGCGAUAUAUAACAACACAAGAGAAAGAAGGAAAUAAUAGGAUAUAGAAGACAUCGAGUCGGACAUGCUGAGGAGGAGGAAUAACGAGUAAAACCCAGUUGCCAUGGCGUUUGUUGUAUGAGUACUAGGAAAUCCAUAUUCAUAUUCAGCAUCCGACGACAGGGUUAGACGCACCAUCGGAGGAGAGCGAGGUCUAGGCAAGCAAAAAUAAUCUUUAAUGCAACCACUGAAGUAAACACCGGCUGCAAAAAGCUGUGUAAUAUCUAGAGUAUAGUAUAUACAACCGGACCAGAAAAAUAUGGGCAAAGCAAGCAUAAAGAACACGUGAGUCCCCAACGUUGCAGUGUACAUGAAAUAAACA